CAUGUCCUUAUGAUUAUAAUUUUAGGUCUAAUCUGCUCAAUGAGUUUUAAAUAGCCGUGGUAUUUUGACCGUGCAAAGGUAGCAUAAUAAUUAGUUUUUUUAUUGAAAGCUAGAAUGAAUGAUUGGACAAAAGAUUUUCUGUCUCAUUAAAAUAUUUCUUGAAUUUAACUUUUAGGUUAAAAGGCUUAAAUUUUAUUUAAAGACGAGAAGACCCUAUAGAGUUUUACAUUUUUACCUUAUGAUAGGGUUGGUAUUAGUUUACUUUUAGGUUAGAUUUGUUUAGUUGGGGUGACUAGAAGAUUAGAUAAACUCUUCUUUGUUUAUUUAUACUGGUACGUGAAUUUUAUUUCUUUAUUUUACAAGUUUAAAUUAAAUUACCUUAGGGAUAACAGCGUUAUUUCUCUUUAGAGUUCUUAUUGUUAGAGAAGUUUGCGACCUCGAUGUUGGAUUAAAGUUUAUGCGGGGUGAAGUAGCUCAAGCAUUUAAGUCUGUUCGACUUUUAGAAUUUUACAUGAUCUGAGU
rnacentral:rRNA from 1 species